rnacentral:rRNA from 1 species
CGCCCUAGUUCUAACCAUAAACGAUGCCAGCCAGCGAUCCGGCUGUGUUCCUCAAAUGACACGCCGGGCAGCUUCCGGGAAACCAAAGCUUUUGGGUUCCGGGGGAAGUAUGGGUGCAAAGCUGAAACUUAAAGGAAUUGACGGAAGGGCACCACCAGGCCUGGAGCCUGCGGUUCAAUUUGACUCAACACGCGAAAACUCACCCGGCCCGGACACAGGAAGGAUUGACAGAUUAAGAGCUCUUUCUUGAUUCUGUGGGUUGUGGUGCAUGGCCGUUCUUAGUUCGUGGAGCGAUUUGUCUGGUUAAUUCCGAUAACGAACGAGACUCUAGCCUACUAAAUAGACGUUUCCGAUCAUUUACGUCGGACGUUCUUCUUAGAGGGACAAGCGGCGUUUAGCCGCACGAGACAGAGCAAUAACAGGUCUGUGAUGCCCUUAGAUGCCCGGGGCCACACGCGCGCUACAUUGAAGGAAUCAGCGUGUGCUUUCCCUGUCCGACAGGACUGGGUAACCCGUUGAACCUCCUUCGUGCUGGGGAUAGGGACUUGUAAUUGUUUCCCUUGAACGAGGAAUGCCCAGUAAGCACGAGUCAUAAGCUCGUGUUGAUUACGUCCCUGCCCUUUGUACACACCGCCCGUCGCUACUACCGAUUGAAUGAUUUAGUGAGGUCUUCGGACUGGCCCCCGGAGCGGCUUUCGGGUCGCGCCGGCGUGCCGGAAAGAUGACCAAACUGAU